rnacentral:rRNA from 1 species
AACGCACCUUGCGCCCCUUGGCUAUUCCGAAGGGCAUGCCUGUUUGAGUAUCAUGAACACCUCAACCGUUGUGGUUUGCCGCAAUUGGCUUGGACUUUGGAGGUUUUGCUGGCUCCCUGUGGUCAGCUCCUCUCAAAUGAAUCAGCUCACCAGUGUUUGGUGGCAUUGCAGGUGUGAUAAAUAUCUACGCUUGCAGCUGUCCACCAUGCAACCUUCAGUGAUGAGGGUUCGCUGGGGCUCACAGAUGUCUCUCCUGAGUGAAGACAGCUUUUUGGACGUUCGAUCUCAAAUCAGGUAGGACUACCCGCUGAACUUAA